rnacentral:misc_RNA from 1 species
GGUUAACCCCUCUUUCUCCAAUAAUUGUUUGGUCACCAAAAGGAAACAUGUCAAGGUCCUUGACAAGAGAACACCUUUCAAGUACUUCUUGGUAUUUGAUUCGAUCCACUGUGGAACCAAAAAGUAUGUUCUCUCUUAUUGUUCCUGUCUGAAUCCAUGCAUUCUGAGAGACGUAUGCCACCGUUCCAUGAACUUGAACCAAGCCAUCAACGUAU